CCUACGGGAGGCUGCAGUGGGGAAUUUUGGACAAUGGGCGAAAGCCUGAUCCAGCCAUGCCGCGUGCGGGAAGAAGGCCUUCGGGUUGUAAACCGCUUUUGGCAGGAACGAAACGGCGCGAGCUAAUACCCCGCGCUAAUGACGGUACCUGCAGAAUAAGCACCGGCUAACUACGUGCCAGCAGCCGCGGUAAUACGUAGGGUGCGAGCGUUAAUCGGAAUUACUGGGCGUAAAGCGUACGCAGGCGGCUCUGUAAGACAGAUGUGAAAUCCCCGGGCUUAACCUGGGAACUGCAUUUGUGACUGCAGAGCUAGAGUUUGUCAGAGGGGGGUGGAAUUCCACGUGUAGCAGUGAAAUGCGUAGAGAUGUGGAGGAACACCGAUGGCGAAGGCAGCCCCCUGGGAUGUGACUGACGCUCAUGUACGAAAGCGUGGGGAGCA
rnacentral:rRNA from 1 species